AGGAAUUGACGGGGGCUCACACAAGCGGUGGAGCAUGUGGCUUAAUUCGAAGCAACGCGAAGAACCUUAUCCAGGGUUUGACAUCCCGGAUUAAACCGUCGAAAGACGGUCUACACCCUUUGGGUGGAACGGUGACAGGUGCUGCAUGGCUGUCGUCAGCUCGUGCUGUGAAGUGUCGGGUUAAGUCCCUUAACGAGCGCAACCCCUAUCGUUAGUUGCUAACAGGUAAUGCUGAGGACUCUAGCGAGACUGCCGGUGUCAAACCGGAGGAAGGUGGGGAUGACGUCAAGUCCUCAUGGCCUUUAUGCCCUGGGCUGCACACGUGCUACAAUGGUAGGUACAGAACGAUGCAAAACCGCGAGGUCGAGCAAAUCGCUAAAACCUGCCCCAGUUCGGAUUGGAGGCUGCAACUCGCCUCCAUGAAGUCGGAAUCGCUAGUAAUCACGGAUCAGCUACGCCGCGGUGAAUACGUUCCUGAGCCUUGUACACGCCGCCCGUCAAGUCAUGGAAGCUGGCAGCGCCCGAAGUCGCCCCGAUUCAGGGGUGCCCACGGCGAGGCUGGUGACUGGGACU
rnacentral:rRNA from 1 species